rnacentral:misc_RNA from 1 species
UCGAUUCAGAGGGAUGUUGCUAGCUCGUUCUGCUGUCUGUGCACUCCCUCGUAAAAAUCUCAAUUCACCUGUGCACACUCGAUGGGCAUUAAGGGCAACCUCUUUUGCCUGUUGUGUUUUUAUACACUCUAUACUAUGAAUGCAAUUUGAACAAUUAACUUGAAA